AAAAAAAAAAAAGUUAAAGUAGGGUACUGUAACGAAAGUAAACUCGACAGAUACUAUUACCAAAACAAUAUUGGCCAUUAUCAGAAAGAUUGGACAACUUUUAAUUGAUCAGUGAGUUCAUGCUGCUCAAAUCAAAUAACAGGAACCAAGUCCCUGGAAAGGUGCAUUUCCUUUUUUAGAUGAUGAAUUACAGAUGAACCAUGAAUGAAAAGAGUGUUACAUAACAUUAGCAAACAGUUGAAUAGUACUCCGUGCUAUUAUUCAACCUCCACUAGUUUUGACAACAAACCAGUAUCGACUAUGCAAGUGAUAAGCAUGCAAACUGAGAGGCAUAAGGUGUCUUACCACAGUGCUAAAGAGAACGAUGGUGAUGGUACUGGUGAUCAUGAUUGCAUUUCCACGCAAUAUGGUAUGGCCAGUCCUAGCAAACUGCACAUGUAUCAUUACCAUGUCUUGUCAAUAAAAAGGAGCUUCUAUAAUAUAGUAUGGCAUUUACCGCAUAUAACUGGGUCCCCACUUCUAAUACAUCAUACAAAAUCAUAGUCAUGUGUACACCUUCCUUUAAGAGGAUGGCACUUCCAUUCAAGGAUUUCCUACUUGUAGUCUUACAAGUUUUAAAGAUCUCUUAGAUACAGAUCAACUGGAAGUUUUUGUAUUUGCGGUACUUCAGGCUAAUCUAUGUGUAAUUUGCUCAAAAUGGCAUAAUGAAUAUGCACAUGCAACUAAAACAAUGAAUACAGAUGAUAAUUUGCCCUGUGGAAAUUAGAUGGGAAAAGCCUGUAUGAAGAAACUUAUGAAUAAGUUAUGCACAUCCAGAAUCUUUGCUCUCCAUUACAUCAUUUUUUUUCAAAUUAAGGUUUUAAUUUCAAAAGAAACAACAAUCUAGAUUCCCUUGCAGCAACCAUGAAAAUUUAAAGAGAUUCUUGUUUCUCUUCUAAACCAGUGAUGCUCGAAAAAAGGCUGAGGGGUUCCUUCAAACAGAAUAACCACAGCCAGUCAUACCAAAUAAUAUAACAUGUUCACCUCAGUGAACAUUAAACUACAAGCAUAAGACUCCAUUAAGGGAGACACCAAAAAACAGAAAAACAGGGAAAUUUUUCUUUUUCAUACUAAAGAAACAUUAGAUUUUGUAAGUAAAAGAUCACAUCAAACCUUAUUAUAUGCAAGUGCAAUUGAUACUGCUCCCCUCAUUAGACCAGCCCACCAUAUUAUGACCUGUGGAUUGAAAUUUUAGAAGUUGUUCUCACAUUUGACUUAAUAGAUAUACAAUAAUUUAAGUCCCAAAGACUCACUUGCUGCUUAAAGGUGAUUUUCUCAUUGGGAGACUUCUUACUCAAGUUGGAAAGAAAAGAUAGCGGGAAAACAAAAGCUGCUCUUCCAAUCAAUACCAUACCUAGCAGAAUCGAGCUCACAGCAACUGAUUUUCCAGGGCUGCAUGGCAGGAUAAAUAUUAGAAGCUACCAAAGCAAUCAAAUUAAUAACCAGGGAACAACUUAUAUGCCCAACAUAUAUAAAGUUCACUGUUUGAGUCAGUCUAAUAGUAAAUACGGACAUCUUGUUUUCAACACUAUAAUCUAGUUACAGCCCAUGGUCUUUUCUAAUUUUCUUGAUAUAUGUGACUGCAUAAAAAGUGAGAUGUAAGGGUGCUACCAACUGCAGAUUUAUCUUGAACUUUUCCUUCCAUUCCCUAGUACUAGAAUGGUUCCAUUGAGCUUACCCCAUUACAUAGUAAUAUUAAUAUAAUAUUAUGAUAGACCCAUCAUGUGUUUCAGUGAGAGGCUAGCGGUAAAAUAUUUUUAUUUAUAAUUCCUCAAAGCCAGUUAUUAAGAUUUCAAGUCUGAAAUUCAAAAUUCAUUGGAAAAAAAAAAAAACUAAGAAUAGCAGAAAUUUUAUUGCUAUUUUUGUAAUCCCAAUUGCCCAUCAAUUUAUCAUCCUAUUUAGAGUUGGGCAUCCACUAAAGCCUUCAUAGUUGAUAGUGUUGGGAAGCAGGUAUGCCCUAAAAGCCAAUUGCAUAUUAAAAAUCAUAUCUUGAGAUAUUACAUAAGGAUCUCUUCUAUUCACAGUCAUAAACAGCUAGAAAUUGUUUCACACAUUGGUCUUUGGGGUGGAAAAGACCAUGAGUGUCCCUUAUGGGUAGAAUGAUCAAGUAGACGGUUGUGUAUUCCAUGGGAAGAAUUGGAUCAUUCUACACUUCAAGAUGGUUCACAGCUGUGGAUGAUGUUGGGCAUCAUACUCAUAUGCUUACCAUUAUGUGCAGUGUCCAAUAAUAAUUAGAGUGGCUAUUUUUUCACAAUCAUCAUCAUAGUUGAUCUUGAACUGAUACAUGAGUGAGCUUCACACUGAACCGUCAAUGGGAUAAUGCAACAUCUCUUGGAAACCACCGUCGAAGAUGACAUUCUCGUAUACACAAUAUGAAAGUGAUCCCCUGACUUGAGGGCACGACUACCUACUGUGAUUUUAGUUCAACAAAUUAAAGGCCAAAUCUGUGUAUUAAUUAUGGUACCCCAGAUUUAUCCUUGGAGCACACUGGUUUACCGUGCUGUGUCAUGAGUGGGGGAUCAGGAUUGUCCAACAAGAAAUCUGACUAUGAUAUUUUAUCCACAUUAAACAGAGACAUUGUCAGACACAGAAUCCUGAUACCAAGCUAUGAUUUGAUCGAAUCAUUUUCAUAUUAAAUAAAAUAUUUAUUUUGAAUAAAACCAAAAAUAUUUUAUUCGAACAUGGUUUUGCAUGCAUAUCGGUUUUCAGUUGUCGGUCAUAAUCCAAGAUUCUGAUGGGCCAUGAAGUUAAUUAGCUAUGUAUUUGAAACUGCAUAUAUUCUCUGAAUGAUUAAUCAAGGAUAAAGGAAAGCGGAGGAACUGAAUUGCAAGAGUAAAUGCUAUGCAUGAAGAGAGACUUCUCUAUCCAUUCUACUAGGGACUAGCACGAUCAUACAUAGUUAUAUAUAAGGAGGCUAGCCCACCUUGCUACAUUGUUACCGUGGCACACAUGUCAAGUAAGAUAAGACAUGAUAGAUUAGAAAACCCAAUUGACCUUUGAACCCAUACUUGUUCGUCUUCUUAGCCUUUCACUAAAUCUCUCAAGUUUUCAGACUGGGGUUAAAUAGGAUUGCACAGAUAGAUUAGAAUUGGCAUAGGUAUUGGUUCAAGUAGGCCAACAAACCCAAUUGGCUGUGAUUAUGGGUUAGGGCUAAUCACAGGCCUAGGGCUUCACUAAGUGGUCGGUCCAUUGGGGCUUCCCUAGGUUCCGCCCACUUAUCUAGGGUUUUCUCUCGAGUGGUGUCCAUCCUAUUAUAAAUAGGAGGUGCAUGUGGAGCUUUAGGAUAUGUGUUAAGGCUUCUCAUGUUGAGAUCUCAAGAAAGAGAUCUCACCAUAGCCGCCUACAAGAAAGAUAAUAGAGAGAAGGAAGACUGAAGGAAGAAAGACAAGAAGAUUCAAGUAAUUCUUGGAGGGCCUGUUGAGUGUUGACUGUUGAGUACUCUGUGUAGUGCCUAAAGAAGUCUUCAUCCAUUUACUUCUAUCUUGUAAUGCUCCAACAUCUUCUUGUAGGUAGUAGUCUAUGAUCUAGUACAUGUAACUAUCAUUCUUGGUGAUUUAUCUAAAGAUCCACUUCAAAUAUUCCAUUGCACCAUGAUGUCGGACUACACAAGCAUCCUUCAGAAAGUAUUGCAUUGCUGUUUGAUUUCAGCAAGCUAAAUCACUGUUUAAAAAGGAAAACUCAGGAAUCAAAAACUUGCUUGUCCCAAUAUCCUUUUGGAUAUCAGAUUUCAGAUUUCCUGCAUCAACCAAUGCGGCAUUUUUUUUAUAGCUAUAUCUAAUGGCAAUUCAGAAGCUUAAUCAUGCCCUAGAUAGUGCUUGAUAUCAUGGCUCAAGUUUACUAGUUUGUUGAUGUUGUGAUCUUCUAAUUACUGUUUGUAGCCAAAUGACACACUUAUACAGAAUCCUUUAUAGCUUCAUGAAAGAACACACUUUCAACAUCCAAUGGAUGCUUGUCCCAUUAUCUAUUCUACAACAAAUGACUAAAAAUUCUUGUUUAAGCCAGGCAUCAUUUGCAGGGUCUUUGAAUGAACAUAUUUCUAAUAUAGAAUCUACUCCUCUUGCUCUACCUCAAUCUAAAUUUUUAUCUCUAUGCUUUCAUCAGUUUAAAACUUAAGCAUAUAUGCUUAUCUACAGCUCACUAGUGUCGUCCUAUUGAAAUGUGCCACUGUUUCCCAUUCCAUAUUUUUUAGCAAGGUUUACACCUCCAUAACUUUCCACUAAUUUGGACGAAUUUAAUCCUUCUAUGGUCUAAUUGAUAACGAAUGAAAAGUGUAGUGAAAGAAUAAAAUAAUGUUAAAAGAGAGCUGCAUGAAAAAAAAAUAUAUUUGUUAGAGUGCGAGGUACGAUUAUCUUGCAUUUCUUAAAACAAUAGGGAGCCUAAAAGCAUGGAUAUCAGAUUCAUGGUAGACCACUUGGUCUGAGAGUGAUUGAGGUUCUACAAUACUUAUUCGUUCAUCAUGGCCUCAAUUCUUGUUUGUCCACAACCAACAGAAUUUCUUUCAUAACAAUUGAUUCCAGAAAAUUCAACCUAAGAAAGAUGUAUAGGGGCAAGAAGUAAAUGCAGAAUCAAACUUCUGAAGAUGGAGCUAUUGAAUAACUGGCAACCUUGCUACUGAACUCACCCAGAAAUCAAUCUUCUGCAGUGGUAGGGCAGAACCUUAUGGGUUGAAUUCAUGAAAUAAAAAACAUUAUAAAAAGUAGUUGGUUACAACAUCAUAUCCCUUUUAUGCACAACACAUGCUGCACAAGACUGCAGGCUCUAUAGUCUAUAAUUUGCUGUUCUAUAAACAUCAAAGCAAAGGUCUGCUGCCAUCCUAUGCCGUCCCAUCCCUACUAUAUCAUAUCAGUCAGGUGCUAGUAUGCUAUUGAGUUUCAAUUCUGCAUACGACUCAAACCAGUCUGUAAGGAUUCAGGUCUCAGCGGGACAUUCCAUGGAACACCUGUAAGGGGUACCAUCCCAUGCGUUGAGAUAGGACCAUCCCGCUAUCAUCCCAGCAUCCCAAUCGGGCGGUCUUGGGAUAUCUCUUAUCCCAAGUGUCAACAUGGGGCAGAACGGUGGCACGUCCCAUUUCAUGAGAAAACUGGGACAGCCCAAUCCCACAAGAUUUAAAACCUUGCUAGUCUAUAAUGGUCCGAACCGACUGAAACCACUUCUAUCCGGUACCAACCCAUCCUGCCCAAUUUCGAGUGGUACCAUGGUUGGAAGUGAGAAAAAGUAUUGGAAGCCUAUCUCAAUAUCAGGGUGUCUACUAUACUGCACUGACCAUACCAUACCAAAAUGGUGACAUACCUGUAUGGUUCAUGGAAGUGGUUUUGGGGACCUUAGUUGCAGCUGUUUGGAAAAGCAAACAGAGCCAAAAGCAUAUGAGAGAAAGAACUUUGAUUAGGGGCUAAAAAAGGACCCAUUAUGUCCCGCAUCAUUAUAUUUCAAUGCAGCCAUGUAGGCUAUAUCAACCCACCCACCAGAACAUAUAUUGGUAAUAUCAUGUUUUCUUUAAGUGUAUGGUUGCAUUUCUAAUUAAAAUAGGGAACGAAAUAGAUCAAACUUGAAUUUUUUAGGUGAUUCUUGAAGACAAGAUGCUAUAAAGUACUUGACUAUAAACCUAAGGUUCCAAGAUGUCUCUGAUAGAUUAAGAAGUUGGACCUUUUAACCUAAUAUAUAGAAAACGACAGCUUUGGCCCUGAUGGUAAUCAUGAGAUGCAUGCAAAACAUUAACUCAAUGUCGCUUCAUGAUAAAAUGACAUCAAUGAUGCAAUGUCUUGCAUGCGUGCUUUUGUGCGAUUAAUUAAUAUGAUUUACAUUCACGAAGUUCUAUGUUUGAAAACUAAAGACUGAUAAUGUUUUUUCAUCAGAAACCAAAAGGGCCAUACAAGCCAGCCUUAAGUAGCAUUUGAUAUCAUAGGGAUGAAAUAUGAACAAAUGAACAGUGCCAAUGCAAUCAUGUAUUGAGACCUCACUUAUAGCAUACUGAGAUCUCUUUCUUAUUCUGAUCAUAUAAAAAAUCUUAGAGCAAUUCAAAGAAACUACAGUAUUCUGCUCACGAAGUUUCCGAGCCCACAAACAUUCAUCUAGGAAUGCAACGUAUCCCAUACCUGUUACUGGCCAGCUUCCACUUUUCAAUGUCUAAUGCAUCCAUGCCAACAUAAAGAAAGAGAAAAAUCUCAGCAAUAAAUGAUAAUGUUGCAAAGGCAUGCCUGCAACAGUAAGCAAGCAAAAAGUGAUAUAGUAAUAUCAUAGUAUGAACGGCGAGAGAAAAAACAGGUGAAACAUGAGAAACAAUAGUUUAUACAGCGAGGAGCUAUUAAGAAAUUGCAUACUUGGUGGUAACUCUAGAACUUUCUGUCACAUUAUGCCAAGUAUAGUGAGACAUUACUAUUCCACAGAAGAACACUGUGAGAAUACCACUUAAAUCUAAUAGCUGCAACAAGAAAGAAGCUGUCAGUGACAUUUGAACUUGGUUAAUGAAAUAUGAAGCAUCAUGGAGACAAGGGAAAGACAGACUAUUUUCAAAUAUGUUUGUUGAUUUAAAGAAGAACUCACUUCUGCCAGCAUAUAGGAAAGGUAAGCCAUAAGUAUCAUAAGUGCAACUUCACGAUCAGUAGAAUGCCUGUAUUAAAUGGAAACAUAAGCAAUGAGAUCUUUAGCAGAAAACAGGUAAACUUGAUUUUACUCGUGAAUCGUGAUAAUAUCACAUCAUGCUGCUACAUUAUAAAAUAAUAUCAAUAACUAUGAAAGAGUCAAAGCAAUUAUCAGUGUUCUAUUUAAAGUAUGGAAAACAUAAGAAAAGAAAAAACUGCAGCACAAAUCCAGUUCUUUCAGUACUCCUAUGCUAAUAAAGUUUUACCACUGCUAACCAUAACCAUAGCCAUCCAGCCUUAUGCCAACUAUUUGAGGUUAGCUUUAUGGUAACUACAGUGCAAAAGAAGACAAUAAGACGAGUUUAGGUUUCUGGUAUCUCCAACCUGCCAAAAUACAACUUUUUGAUGAGAUAAGCACUAAACAAUCCAGCCUGCAGAAGAAAGAGAACAAAUAUCAGCCAAAAAUAGAACUGUGCCCAUUUGGAAAAGGACCCAGAAAAGUUGCAAAUUGGAGGGCAAAUAUUUUUUAUGAAUACGCACUACAUCACAGAAGCAUAAGAAACUUACAAAUGCUCCAAGCAAGGUGCUGGUAAAGAAUAGAUAAAAGAAGUUUGCAACAAACUUCAGAACAGUAACAGCAUCAGCAUGUCCUGGAUCAAAGUUCUGGAUUGCUUUAAAGAGCACUAUUGAAGUGGCAUCAUUUACAACACCUUCACCAAAAACCAGGCUAUAAAGUAAAGGCGUCUCAUCCUGACUGAGCACCUGUUUUUCAAGUACACAAUUUCCCAAUAUGGUGAACUAUUGUCUCUUGAACCUGGCCUAUAACACAAAUUUUAGAUGUUCAGAACCUGCAAGGUGCAAACAGAAUCUGUUGCAGAAAAGAUUGCCCCAAUUGCUGCAAAUAUAUAAAUAGAAGGAAGUUUGAGAGCUCAGGAAACAAGUGAAAGCAAAAAAGAGCAUAAGAAUUGAGGUAAAAAUAUAGAAUCAAAGAGUGUGCAAUAAGAAAGCUUACCAAGAUAAUCUCCAGUUUCCAGAUCACCUAUAUCCAUUUUUUUAAUUAUUCCUAUUGCACCUGCACAGUAUAUAAAGGUCGAGAAAUAAAUGUAAUGCAUCAUAUAGAAAAACAUGGAGUAAAAAGUAGAAGAGCACAUGCUCUCAGGGCAAAUCGGCAGUUUCUAUACUUUUUCUCUUCCUGAGAGAUUCCCUAAUCUUUAAAAAUAUUCCUCUUAGAAUCAGGCCUUCUUGAGAUUCCGGAACAACACCUCCAGUAUCACACUAGUUAGAGUCUCCACUCUGGAAACCUCUUAAAAUGCUACUCUUAGAAGAGGCUCAAUAUCAUGCUUCAGUAUAUUGUUUAAUUACUCACAUGGAUCAGAAUAAUGUGAUAAUAUAUAGGGAAAAUGCAAUUUCUGUGUGACUUCCUAUAGAUUAAUAGUUACCGUUUAAAUCUUUUGCAUAUUGUCCACACUAACUACAAAAUUAUCAAUUAAACUAGUAAUAUAUUACUCCCAUGAUGAGAUUUAUAAGAGGCUCCAAACUGUUCCCUUCUAUCCUUUAUCGUUCCACUCAUAGCACUUCUGUAAUGUCUUAGCAAUAUCACAAUGUGAAAAGUUUUGCAAUGGUCGAGAAAAGGUUUAGUUUGCUUCUCACUGUGAAAAUAAACCCAAGGAAGCAGAAAGGCCAGAGCACAAUAAUUUAUGCAUGCAUAUUCAGCAAGCAGAGGCAAUGGAGCACCAGCAAUGAGCAAGAAAAUUUAAAUCAAGUGACAGAGCAGAAAAAAGUAAAACAUACUUGGUUGGAAAAUAAUUAUACAUGCAAAAGCCACCAUCUCCUAGCGGUGCAGCAGGGUUAAAUUUUUAUCACUAAAAAAUAUGGACCCACAUUCAGCUAAAAGUUAGCAUUAAUCACUCCCAAAUGCAAACUUUCUUACUUUUCGUUAAUUAGAUAAAUUCAGAUUUUCAUACUGGACUAUUUUCAGAGGAUAUGUUUGCCAGCAGAAAUGCAGUUAGGAAAAAAAAGGAAGAUAGAGAUAUGAUGAACUUUGAAAAUUUACACCAAUAUUUCAAUUUUCAAAUUCUUUGACAUCCUCUGAAUUUUCAAAUCCCAUGCCUAUUUUAAGAUUUAAAAGGUUUGAAAACUUUUGACGCAAUCUGAUUGUUUCUGCCCACAUCAGUCCUCUGGUAAAAUUCUUGAUAUCAUACAUUAUUUAGCCUCCUAACUAAAUGCUUAAGAAAUCCAUCAACAAAACUAAUUUCAACCAGUGUCUGCUUAACAACUAGAUGCUCAAUGAGCUGUGUCUGAAUUUUCUUGAACUCAGAACUGCAGCGUGCAUGUAUUCAAAAAAGCUAUCUAAUCAAUUCAGAAUAUGCCCCCAUAAGAAGAUAAUAAACUACAUGUGCAAUCCUAAGGUUUCUGUGCAGACAGCAAUGUCAACAAAACACAAUUUCCUAUAAAUAUGAUACGUGCCAAUUUACAAUUUCAUGGCAUAACAGCUUAUCCAAUUGCAUGUAUGCUGAAAUUCCUUUCCUUAGAACAUUUAUAGUGCAACUAAAUACAAAAGAUCGAGAACUUGCCAAGUGAAAUAAUAGUAAAGGAUAUCAGUGUUCCAACUGCACCAAACAGCAUAAUUGUCAUGAAGUUGCGGAAGAACCGUUUCUUUUUGACUUGAAACCUGGUGCAGAAGAAAAUUGGUCAGAAUUUUUACAUGCACUUAAAGUGAUCGCUUAUUGUCAACAUCCAAAACUUCCAGUUUUAACCAGAUCUGCAUAACCAACAGGUGCAAAAAUAAUGCACAGCCAAAUUUAAAAGAAUAAAGCAGAAAGUGCACUUAAUAUGUUUUCCGGAAUUUAGGUAAUAUGAAACUUUGAUGGGAUGGUUCAAAUGAAGUGCAAGUUGAGUCCCUUGUACCAGGUUCUCAAUAGAUCAAGGUUAUUUAAAUUUUAAACAUUUCCGCAUGAAGUUGGGUGAUUCAAAAUAUGCCAUUAUGUUGAAACCCAAGAUUGCACAUUUGGGGAUUUUGUUAUGAAAUGAACUUUAAGCUAGUACAUGCAGACUAAUUGCCAUGUUAGGAGAGAGGAAUAGGCUUACAGAAUGUUAAUUUCUGAGCUUAGUUUUGCAGUAAGUGAUGGACUUUAAUCAUAUUGUUAGUAGAUGGUACCUUUCGAGCUUCUCCAUAGUUACUUUACCUAGCCUCACAUGAAACAUGUUUCGAGUACAUGUUAAAAGCCAUAGCAGUUUAAGCAGCCUGAAUUUGAGUCAUCUUUUAAUGAGUCAUCCUUAAGAUUAAGUUUCCAGAAUCCAUAUGUGGCAAUGAACUCGAUCUUAGAGAAUCAAUCUUCAAGGUCCAAUGAGGCCAAUUUUAACCUGAGAGUCUAUUUUUCAUUUAUUUCCAUUUGUCUUCAUGAAGUAGUUCCCAAAAAAAUUUCUUCAACUGACCUUAUUCAACUUUUAAACGAUCUUGAUGGCUUUAAGUUAACAUAACAUAAAAGGUUUUGUAGAACUCAAUAAACUCAGAAAAAAACUUUAGAGCUCAAAAAAAAAGAAUUCACGAAUAGGACAAAAGUCACCAAAUCAAGACAAAUGAACAUUUACAGCUAAGCAAGAAAACCACUGAGAGGUUUGAAACAACCUUCAAAUUAAAGCUUUAAAUCAAAAGUUGCAAGCACUUGCACGUACAAGCCCGUGUACAUGUGCACAUCCAUAGAUAAAUAUACAUAAUGCUAGGACAAUGCAUUUGCAACUGACAAGUGUGGUGCUUUACCUUUAAUUGUGUGAGAAUUCGUAUUGACAAUGAACAGAGCAUCACUGACAUCUUUAUUGUUGAACUAUUACUCGUAUGUGUUUAUUUUCUUCCAUGCAAACAUUGCAUCCCAAUCCACCACUAAGAUCCAUUAAUUCUCCUGGAACCUCCAAGAAGCUCGAGACAGGAAGAGCGUUGCAAGCACAUUGCACAGACUACAUCUUUAUUAGAAGCAUUGGGAUCUAGGAGGCUCAAGAAUUGUUCCAUUUUUUUUGUACUCUUGAGUAGAAUUAGGAAUUGGCCAUUAUGGAUCCAAUUGGCACUCCCCUUGGUAUUUCAGACAUCUCAAACCAGCUGGAUCCUAAGUUUGACCUCUUUCCAAAGUCUGAUUUGAAACUUCAAAAGCUAGAGCAACAAACCAGAAUCACCAGACCAGAAAUUGCUGCUCAAGCUACAGAGAUGGCAACUCCAUUACCGCCAAACUCAGAAAAUAACCAACAAAAUUAGAUAACCCAUUUUUCAAGGCUUUCUGCAAUGAAAGCAUUCCCUCCUUGAUGGCUAAAAUGGUAUGUUAUGAACAAAAAAAUUGUUUUCACUCUUUUCUUUUUUUUUUGGAUUUAGAGUUGAUACAAAAACUGGAACCUAGAAAUAGAAUUCUCAGUUAAGUGCAUAUUAUGUCCGUCAAAAAAACAAAACCAAAAUAUUAUGGUACAAUUAAAUUAAAACUAGCCAUCCUAUAGAGUGGUACAGCUGAGAGAAUCAGUUACAGCCAAUCACUUUAGAUGUUGCAUGGAAAAAAAAAGCCUUAAAAAACAAAAUAUGUAAUAUUGUAUAAUGGCCAGUGUGGCCAGCCACUGAUGACAACAUGAAACCAAUUAUUCCCAUCUAACACACCCUGAGACUUUGUCCCUCCUUGAUAAACCUACUGGCAAUCCAUUUUAAAUGAUCAUAUACAUGAAAAAGGUAAGAGAGAAUGAUGCUCCAACAACCUUCCAGCAACCAAUGCCAAUUGAAUAAGGAAAGCUGAAACACAUUCAUUCAAUUUUAUUCCGUUUGCAGUAGAUAUUUCCAGAAAUCCGAGUUACAAAUUGAAUCCAAAUACAACAAACAGAGAUGGUCAAGGAAUCAUAGGACUUUGAAGCAGAAACAAAGAAAAUGUUUGACUUCAGAAUUUGCAUUUUGUUCAGAUAUCUGAUAAACUACAAAAUCAGAACAGGCUUGAGUUUGAGAAGUAUAAUGUCCUUCGUUGUCCAUUUUUUUUAUUCUCAAGUUUUACAGUUGGAAUAUGAGCCUAUGAUCAACAUCUUAUUUCUUGCUGUCAGAGAAGUGGCUAAACAAGCUCUUUACCGUUAUAUCUUGCAAAAAUUAGCUUCCAUUAACCUCAAUAUCAUCAGAUAAUGUAGAUUUUCUUAACUAUUACUCAUAUAACUCCUAAAACAUAGCCAAAUAAACCUACGUGCAGAUAAGAGAGCAAUAAUAACAAAGUUAGGCAUCAGCUAAGUGAAAAUGAAGGGAGUCAAGGGACGACAACGAUUGUCGUGAUGGCACUACCCUCAGCCCCUCACUGCCUGAAAAUCCCACCAUCUUAAAUCAUUAACGUUGUUCUGCCCUCAUUAAGGCAGGGCCUGGAGUUGAAAUGCCCACCACGGGUAAUCAAAGUUUUGCCUCAAGAAUAACUAAAGGUUCCGUAACAAAACUUUUAAAUGUAGACAAAAUAAAAAUUGGCUCCGAUGGUAAAACUUAAAAACUGCACUUGGGCGCAUCUUGCAUUUUUUUUUUUUUAAAGCAGAAAAAUAGACCAAAUCCAACACUAUUAGCCAGUUAAAACUAAAUUUAACUCUAAAUCAGAAAACCGUUGUGAAGCCAAAAUUAGAGGUGCAAUUAUCCAACAAAACUUACCCAGCAUUGAAAAUAAUUGGCGGAAGCAAGUAUAUGAAAAAGAGUUCUUCACUGAAGACUAGAAGAUGCGGACUCCUUCCUUUAGUAGUUAGAAGAAUAAUCACUCCAGUGCAGAGCCCCUGACAUCAAACCAGUCCAAUUAUACUAAAUUGCUGCAGUAAAGACCAAAAAGAUUAAAUCUUUAUCUCCAUAGAACUUACGAUAAAAAGGGCAGUGAUGGACUCAUUCAUCCACCGAUUCUCCUCCAGCAAGUGGCCGAUCACUAUACACGCGCACAACAGCGCCACGAAGAGAUUGAUCGACACCACCGACAUGUGAUCAGAGUCAUCAGACGCCGAGAGGACCCCCAUUUUGAUCAUCACCGACCCCAAAUCCAUCGCCAUGGCCCUUCCAGCACCUCAAAAAUCAAAACUUUGGGGCCCAAAAUACAAAAUCUCACCACGACAAAGCGGGAAUCCGAUGCUCUAUGUCUCCGGGGAGUCCAUUCUCCGGGGUCUCACCCUCGGCUCACGAAUUCGAUGCUUGGGUUCGAAUCCUGGAUGGAUUUUUGCAGAGGAGAACUCGCCGAGUGUGGAUUCGAUUCGGGAACUCCAAUAUUGCAGAAAAUCUCGAGAACUGGGAGCUCGGAAAGCAAUAUUAACGAUGGAAUCUCGAGAUAUUUUGGGGCUUUUUGGUUGGAGAGCAAUAUUAGGAGCGCUCUUCCCUCGCUCGAUGAUUGAAGCCAGAGAUGUUAGUACGAACGGACUGCGCGGAGGGAGAAUAAGCAGUGCACGAAAAAGGUAUUACGUGGCAGCAUCCUAUGCUGCUGUUUUCUGUUCCAGAGAGCGCAGGUGAUCCCUCGUCGUACGCCAUAUUUUUCCAGCGCGACUGGUCAACCCAGUCAUUGAACUAGCACAUAAGAAAUGUAUAACUAGCGCAUAGAAAUUUAUAUGCAGAAACUACACUGGCCGUCUGUUAGUAAUCUGACGGGAAACAUUGAUAUCGCAUAUAACCUUUUAUGCUUAUGUUUGUUGGGGUUUAGACCAGUGUGGAGUAAAAUCUUCAUUAUUUUUCGGUAACUAAGGAACCUUCGCUUGGCGGCAAGCACACUUGGAUGAGCUAGAUUGGACGCAGGCCCCCACCUUGAGGGAUCCGUGUGUUCUAGUUUGCUUUGUGCGGUGGCCGUUAGAUGGUUCGAUCAGACGGUCAAGGGCGCAAAAUCUGGCUUUGUUCGAAUAUGUCUUGAUUGGAUAUACUUGGUGUUUGGUGAGCGGUGUGGUAGAGCGUCCCCAAGACGCAACUGGAAGAUCUCAAAAACGUAGUCUCCAACCCACGUCUCCAGAAUUGAAAAUGCUUGCCGCCAAUCUAGAGAAAGCACAUAGAUUUUUUUUUUUUUUCCAUGGAAUUUUUCUUUUUUAAAGAGGACAAGCCAACCUUGUUCAGGUUGAUGCUUUGCACUGAAGAAACCUAAUAGAUUUCUCAAAUUUAGACAUCAACAACAUCUUUUUUCUAACAUACGUGUCCCGUGGAGCAAAAUUUUCCAUGCAAGAAAUAAAUUGCUAUUAAAGAAUCUGAUUCUUCCCAACUAUUUUUCAUGGCAUCUUAUCUUGUAUAUGCCAAUAUAGUCUCUCAUGUGACGCAUAACUCCAAAGUCAUGGUAUCAGCCGCUGGCUUAUUUGAAAGAGUAAAGCUUGCUAAACUUGAUAUUUAGGCAUAAUAUCUGUGCUUGUGGGUCUAGAAGUCAAUAAUGUUGAGUCAUCCUCAUAAAAAAAGAUUUUGAUAAGCUUAUCCAAUGAAAAUUUCGGAUCAAUCACUCUUAUCUUUGUAGUGCUCCAUGCAUUGUUGAGCUUAUAAAAAAAAAAGUUACCAAUGCUCUAUAUACUCUAGAAUAUGUCAAAUCUAUGCAGGAUAUUGUUUUUUUUUUGGUAAGAAAGAUAAUCUUUAUUGACAAUAAAAGUGCAGAUACAACAGUUUGAGCAUAGUCUUAGCACGGAGACAAAAACAAAGAAGGAGCUAGAAAUUCAACUCCAAAACAUGGUGACGAAGUGAAGCAUUAAAAAUGUGGAACCAGCAGCUAUACAGCCAGGGCCGGUCCUGACAUUUUUUAGACCUAGGGCUAAAUGAAAAAAUGAGACCUUCUCUAUUAAAAAUUAACAUACUUUAAAUAUUAAUUAUCAUUGAAAAAUUAAUCUACGUGCAAUAAUUUUUUAUAGAUAUAUUCGUUAAGCAGUGUAUAAAAUCCAUCAUCAACCUAUUUAAUUAUUUUUCUUGUUAUAAUAUUGUAGAAAGCCAUCCUUGCACCUUAUUGGAACAUCAAUACAAGGUCUAGGCCUGGGGCCUGGGGCGGUAGCCCAAUUUGACCUGCCUCAGGGCCGGCCCUGGUUGGGUAUAUAUUUAUGAAAUAAGAGAUGGGAAAUAUUAGGAUGACUGAGGACCUAUUUGGAUGCCAGAAGAAUUUAUUUGCUAGCUAAAAUUUUCUAAUGGGCACAAAAAAAAAUACAAUGGAAAAAUGUUGAAAAAGCUCGGUGUUGCUAGAUGGAGCAGUUAAAUCUAUAUUUUUCAUGAAUAGACAAUACCUUCUUCAAGGUAAUUUAACUUAUCUCUAUAAUAUAUGGAUUGGUUGCUGAUCUGACUAGUAGCCUCUCCCUCUCAAUCACUCUCUUCCCCUCGUAUUUUUAGAAAAAAAACCCCUGGAUAAAAAGGUCUUCUAGCAUCUAAACAGGCACUUAGCUUUUCUCAUAUCCAUACUUUUUAAUCAUGGGAAAGGUAAACUUUCUUUAAAUCUAAGAAUGAAUGAGAUAAGGGUCUUGUUUUGGUAGGAUGAUCAAAAUAAACUCCUUUGUCACCUGCUAUCUCUAUACCAAACUAGACACAAGGCCAUGUCUAUAUAUUAGUAUUCAUUAUCCAUAAAUAAUUUAUGCCUUCAUGAUGCAGAGUACGAUGGAAAGUCCGGUUAGCAAUAACAUGACCCGUGAUUUUGACCAGCUCAUGCGAUUCCAUAUCUCUCCCUUUCAUCACCUCAUAUGUUUUUCUUUAACAUGCACAAGGUUAUUUGCAAAUAACAAAUGUCGGUAUGCAAAUAAGUCCUAAGAGGACAAUUAAAGAUGCGUUUGAUUGUACUUUUUGAUUUUUAAUUUUUAAAAAAUAUUUUUANNNNNNNNNNNNNNNNNNNNCCUAGUGAGAGAUAUAUAUAUAUACAUGUAUAUAUAUAUUAUUGUAGCUUAUACUGUGAGAAUCUGAAGAAUAUGUACGAAAUCCAAAAGUAUGGAGCCUGCAGCUGGAAUUUGAAAACAGAAGACAUCGCAACCCACAAAUAGCAGAAAUCUGAAACAUCCCAUGUGUCGGAAGAUGGAGUAAUAUGGGAAGCUUAUGUUGGCCAUUCACUAUCCAUUGGCAUUUGAAAGAUUCCUUACGAGAUAGAUCUGUUAAUAUAAAUGUCUUCAGAGUUGCAUGAUAGAUCAGACUUCGUGAGCCUACCAUAUGCAAGAUCUCCCUCUUCUGAAAUAAAGCUGAACAGCAAAGUAGUAAUAAUAACCAUAUGAUUGAGAUAACCAUAGCAACAUAGUGAAAAUUGGAUGGUCAAUAGAUAUAAUAGGAAGCUUAGUCGCCCAGUGUAGUAUAAUGAGAAGACCCAGCUCUGUAUCCGAGUUGUUCAGCAAGGAAGUAUGCAGGAUAUUGUUCAUAUUAUGUUGCUUCACGUUAAACAUCCUUCUUGAUUAGUUUCCAUCCUCUUGGAGCUUUCAAUUGAGUCAAUCACUUAUUGUUUAUGAAGUGCAUUUCGCCUUAACAUUUACUUUGCCGUGGCAAUUUUUGUAUUACAAGCAAAGUUAUCCAAACUUUCUCAAUAUUCUCCUAGUUUCAGGAUAUGUGCUGCCCAUCUUAACAUGUCAAGCAUCAAAUAUAGCCUUUGUUUGAUUUGAUGAACAUUUAUAAUUACUUCUCUCAAUGAAACAGAACAGUCAUCAUCAUCUUAAGAAAAACAAACUUACCAUCACCACGCUUCUUAGUCAUGAUCCUCACCGUCCUAGGUGAUGAGCACCAGUAAAAUGCAUUUGGUCAUCUCAUUACAAAAUAUAAUCAUUAGUUUGUUCAAACCAUAACCGUUCAAAACUAUUAUGAAUUCACUCGAUUAUUAGAGUGCUUUUAAUCUUCCAUCACUCACACUGAUGAACAAUUUUCAGGCAAACUGAGUUCCAAAAAGUUCCCAAUAGCCCAUUUUAUUCCUUCCUUUAACGUUAUAACUAUAAACAAUAGUUCUGAUUCAAAAAUUAUCACAUAUUUUUUUAGCACGUUUCAUUAAAAGUAUUCCAGACCAACCAAAUUUUAUUCUCAUCAUUUGUGCUGAGAAGCUACUCUGUUACAGAGUAAUUGACUAAUUUUAUUAAUGAACAAAGCUUUUUAUUUGGGAGAGAGAUAUUUUAUGUGGCUCGGAUUCAAUACAUUCCUUGGGAAGAACCCCAUGCAACAAGUUAUUCCAGAUAGAACAUUAUGACAACUGCGCUCUUUCCCUUUCCACCUCUCCUUGCCAGAGCAAAUGACUGCAAUAGGGUGGCCGGCCCAUAGGGGUAUGAGCCUUAAAGAUCAGGCAAACAAUAAAUGGUAGUCAUGUACAGAUAUUUCUAUGGAAUUAUAUGACACUAUUUAUUGAAUUGCAAUAUGGAUUUCUGAAAGCCAAUCGUUAUUUCAUGAUUGCGAUUCUUCAGGAUAUGGAUCAUGUCAUGUCCCUAUGUGGACAAAGAUUUCAUAAAUGCAGGAUGAUAGAAUUUAAGAUGCUUUUAAAUAUAAAAAUAUUACUUACCAGAGAAGAAAGGAAAGCAGUCCAUGACAUAGACUCUUUUAGCAUCCAAGGAAUUUGGCAAAAAAUGGAAAAGUCUACUUAGAAUCUCAACAUCGAAGCUUGAACUAGACCCAGGACUAUAAUGAGCAUGACUAGCAUCAAUCCAAAGACAUGAACUUAUAGAUGAGGACUGGACUAAUUUCGUGUUUCAUCUCAAAUAGUUUUAUCUUUUUCCAUUGGAUAUCAUUUUGCCUUUCACUUGGUAUCAAUAAAUUGCUUUUGCUUAUAAAGAAAAAAGAAUGAUAUUGUUGGGAUAUACCGACCGCCUCCAUCCGGCCGACCAACUCCAUCCGACCGACCGACUCCAUCCGACCGACCGACUCUACCCGACCGACGGCGGGCAACACCGACAGCGGCUACCGAUUGUGCCCCGACCAGAGCGGAUCGGCCUAACGACCAUACGUCGCCUCCGAUCGCCUAAGGGCCGACCCUCCGUCACCGACUUCCUAUCGGAUGGGACACCGACAACUCACCAUCAGUUUGGAUGACUGACGUUCCACCUCUACAGACCCUCCUAGAUGCCGAAUGAGUGGCGUGGGCUGCGGUCCCAUCAAGUAAACGCCGUACGAACGCCAGGAGGCAUUAUCCUGCCAGAAAGCCUGAGGCGCUGUCCUACUAAGGACGAGAAUUAAUUCCUAGGACCUGUCAACUUUGUCAACGGCGUGACAACCUCCGACGAUUUGACAACUCUCCAGUUGUCUACAUCACCGACGGCGAGGCCAUACCACCUCCUACUAUAAAUCGGGGAGGGCAACAGUGCUAGCGGGGGGGGCUCCAGAGAAAAAAAUGCUCAUGCUCUCCCUCUCUCUCUCUCCCCGCAGAGCUCCUUGUCUCCUUUUUACUGUUGCCUGGUCUCCUCUCUGACUUGACCGUCGGAGGGUCCCCAUCGGAGCUGCCUCCGGUCAGCGUGGACUUUCUUUUGCAGGCGCUCGUUCCCGACGACCAGGCGACGAGGGGAUUGGCCGCAACAGAUUGGCGCGCCAGAUAGGGGGGAAAACAAGGUAGCGGUACUUUAUCUCCACGAAAUUCGAGAUGACAAAGAUAAGAGCUCAACGAUCGAGGGUCACUGGGUCGGUGAGGCGCUCUUCCCGUCGGGAAGAGGCCUCCCCUCCGCCCUCCAUGGCAGAACCCAGCUCUCCACGUCCCGCAGUGACCACGGAGGCACAAAUUGCGGCAAUAGUUCGGCAGAUGACCAUGCUGACAGACGCGGUCAAGAGCCUUCAAAGGCAACCGGUCCGGCAGCCGCCUUCACCGGCCGAACAACCGGCGGCGCGCCCGAUGCCCUCCAGGAGCAGCCGCCGACGUCCGCACCGAUCUCCCUCGCCCCUUCCGGAGCACCUGUCGCAGCGCUCCCCCCAAGAGGAGGAGGGGCGUCCGCGGCGUGACAACCGUCGGUCUCGACGGCCAUCUCCUUCCCAGCUGGAGCGAGCGAGGAAGGAGAAGCGGCCGCGAGCACCGUCUGCUUUCCUUUCGGAUUCGUUGAGAGACUCCACCCCUGGGGUCUCUCAAUACCGACGGAUUGACGACUACGAACGCAGAUUCGAGGAAAUCGACCGUCGGCUUGUCCAGUUGCGGGUGGACGGCCAGAGGUCCUCGAACGACGUUGACUUCCAGACCGUCCAACCUCUCUCCCGACUCAUCCUUGACGAACCGAUNNNNNNNNNNNNNNNNNNNNCAUCGGCUUCCCCGCCACACUACGCAAAGCCGCCAGGGCCUGGUACUCCGAUCUUCGAUCGGGAAGUAUUCACUCCUUCGAGCAGCUUGAGCACUCCUUCGUGACCCACUUUAGUACCAGCCGAAAGUCGCCCCGAACAUCGGACAGCCUUUUCUCCCUUAAACAAGAAAAAAAUGAGACGCUCCGACACUUCGUGGCGCGAUUCAACGCGGCCACGCUCGAGGUUCGGGACCUCAAUGAAGACAUGGCCGUCUCGGCCAUGAAGCGCGGGCUGAGGGCAUCCCGGUUCACCUACUCCCUAGACAAAACCCUCCCCCGAACGUACGUCGAGCUGCUGGAGCGCGCAUACAAGUACAUGCGUGCGGACGAGGGAGCUUCCGACCGGCGUAUGGCCGAGCCCAAAGGCCCGAAGGAGAAGCGGAGGAAGGGUCGGGACCCCGCUGUGCCUAGCAAACCCCCGACCGAUAGUCGGGUCUCACCCCCACGACGGGACCAGAGGUCGCCCCAACGGCGGAGUCCAAGACCCACGCGCCCCAGGUACGAUUCCUACACUCUCUUCUCUGCUCCUCGUGCGUAGAUUUUGAUGGAAAUCGAAGGGGAGGAGUACCUGCGACGGCCUCCGCCUCUGAAGGCAAAGGGCCUCGACCGACAGAAGUAUUGCCGAUUCCACCGGGGCCACGGCCACAAUACCGAGCAAUGCAUCCAGCUUAAGAAUGAGAUCGAAGCCCUCAUCCGUCGAGGAUAUUUCGAUAAAUUUCGGAGGAACCCCCCGACUCAACCCGUUGCCGAAUGACGACCCCAGCCGACUGAAGAAGCAAUGACUAAUCAGCCUACGGUCGGGGUCAUCAACAUGAUUUCCAAACGGCUAGGUCCGGGGACGUCUGCUGGAGGGGAGCCGACGAAGAAGCCACGCCCGGACGAUGUAAUUACUUUUACUGAAGAAGAUGUUCGGGGCAUCCAAACUCCCCACGACGACGCUGUUGUUGUCUCGACAACGAUAGCAAACUAUGAUGUAAAAAGAAUUUUUAUAGAUAAUGGAAGUUCGACAAACGUUUUGUUUUACUCGACCUUUUUCCGGAUGCGACUAUCGACCGACUGACUCAAGAGGGUCUCUACAUCCCUAAUAGGCUUCGCUGGGGACGCCGUCACAACGGAAAGAGAAGUUACUUUACCUGUAACGGUUGGCACCGAACCACGACAAAGCACAGUCCAUUUGACUUUCGCGGUCGUCCAAGUAUCCUCGGCUUAUAACGCCAUACUUGGAAGACUCGGACUAAACGCCCUCAGGGCGAUAGUUUCGACGUACCACCUCCUGGUUCGAUUUUCGAUCAAAAACGGAGUCGGAGAAAUACGCGGAGACCAACAGCUCGCUCGCCGAUGCUUCCAGAUCUCUGCUCAAAGCGAGGAGUUGAAGGUCUCCCUAGCGAUCGACAAGCUAGACCAACGGGAGGAGGAAGAACGGGGUGAACCGGUCGAACAGCUCAUUCCCAUCGCAAUAACGGAAAACCCCGACCGAAAGGUGUGGGUCGGGUCUCAAUUCCCCGACCCCGAGCGACGACAUCUGGUGGAGCUACUAAAAGCAAACACCGACGUAUUCGCCUGGUCGGCGGUGGAUAUGCCGGGAAUUCCCUCAGAGACGAUGACACACCGACUCAACAUCGACCCAACGAUGAGGCCGGUGAGGCAGAAGAAAAGGUCUUUCGCUCCAGAAAGACAGAGGGUCAUCGACGAAGAAGUGGACAAGCUACUCAAGGCGGGCUUCAUCAGAGAGGCCACCUAUCCCGAUUGGCUCGCCAAUGUUGUCAUGGUGAAGAAAACCAACGGGAAGUGGAAGAUCUGCAUCGACUACACCGACUUGAACCGGGCCUGUCUGAAGGACAGUUUUCCACUCCCGAAGAUUGACCAGCUGGUGGAUGCGACGUCCGAAUUUUGACUGCUCAGCUUCAUGGAUGCCUUCGCCGGAUACAACCAGAUUCGGAUGGCACCUAAAGACGAGGAGCACACCACUUUCAUGACCCCCAAGGGCCUCUACUGCUACCGAGUAAUAUCCUUCGGACUGAAGAAUGCCAGCGCCACCUACCAGCGACUUGUCAACAAGGUCUUUAAAGACCAGAUCGGGCGCAACAUGGAAGUAUAUGUCGACGAUAUGCUGGUGAAGAGUUUGCGGAUUCUGAAUCAUAUUCGGGAUCUCGAAGAAACUUUCCGCACUCUACGACGACACCGGAUAAAGCUGAACCCGACUAAGUGCGUCUUCGGGGUGACCUCGGGGAAGUUUCUCGGAUUCCUCAUCUCGCAACGGAGAAUCGAGGCCAACCUCGAGAAGAUCAAGGCCAUCGUCGACAUGCGCCAUCCGAACACCAAGAAAGAAGUCCAGCAGUUGAAUGGAAAAAUCGUCGCCCUCAACUGGUUCAUCUCUCGAUCGGCUGAAAGGUGCCUCCCGUUCUUCAAGACUCUGAGGCAGGCAAGGGGCUUCUCUUGGUCGGACGAGUGCCGGCGGGCCUUCGAGGACUUGAAGGGGUACCUGGCUUCCCCGCUGUUGCUUGUGAAGCCGGAAGUCGGAGAGACGCUGUAUCUCUAUUUGGCCACCUCUCCCGAAGCAGUUAGUUCGGUCCUCGUCCGAGAGAAUGAGAGUCGAAUUCAUCAACCUAUAUACUACACCAGCAAAGUGCUUCAUGGUGCUGAAGCUUGAUACUCAGAGACAAAAAAGAUGAUUUUUGCCUUGACCAUCUCCGCACAACGACUCCGACCAUACUUCUAGGCGCAUGCCAUAGUGGUCCUCACCAACCAGCCCCUGAGGGCGAUAUUGCGCCGACCUGACACAUCGGGACGAUUGGCAAAGUGGACGAUGAAGCUCAGCGAGUUUGACAUACAGUACCGACCGCGACCUGCCUUGAAGGCCCAGGUCCUCGCCGACUUCAUCGCAGAGUGCCCGACGACCGACCAAAGAUCGGAAGGCGAGAACCCCGAAGGAGCUGCGGUCUCCGAGCCUGACCUGGUGUCCACCUGGGUACUGCACAUCGACGGAGCCUCAAACGUCCAGGGGAGCGGGGCUGGUUUCCUGCUCACCAACUCGGAGGGAGUGGUUACCGAACACGCCCUCCGAUUCAACUUCAAGGCCUCCAACAAUCAGGCCGAAUAUGAGGCGCUCGUCGCAGGAUUAAGGUUGGCGCUGGAGCUCGGGGUCGACCGGCUCAAAGUCUUCUCUGACUCUCAACUGAUCGUUGGACAAAUCCAAGGCGAGUUCGAGGCGCGGGAUCCGACCAUGGCCAAAUACCACCAAAAAGUAAAAGAUCUCGUGGCACCCCUCAAGUACUUCGAGAUCUUCCAUAUCCCCAGGUCGGAGAACGCCCGGGCCGACGCACUUUUUAGACUGGCGACUUCAGCUUACGACGCUUUGGGCCGGACGCUUGUGGAGAAUCUCGAGCAGUCGAGCAUCAACAAGGUCGAAGGAGUGCUGCAACUAACGACCGAACCAAGUUGGAUGAAUCCGAUCGUUCGGUACCUGACCGACGGGAUCAGUCCUGAAGAUCCCGCGGAGGCCAGGCGGCUCCGAUGGUCGGCCACCCAAUACGUUAUAAUGGAUGGCCGACUCUACAAAAGGUCUUUCUCCCUUCCCUUGCUCAGGUGUUUGGGACCGACCGACUCAGACUACGCACUCAGAGAAGUGCACGAGGGGAUCUGCGGGAGUCACUUGGGGGGCAGAUCCUUGGCCUACAAGGUCCUGCGGCAAGGCUACUACGGGCCCACCAUGAGGAAGGAUGCGGAUGAGCUGGUCCGAAAGUGUGAACCAUGCCAAAAGUACGCCAACGUGCAACACCAGCCAGCCAGCCAAAUCGCUCCCGUUGUCGCCCCGUGGCCCUUCGCCUAGUGGGAGAUCGACAUACUCGGACCCUUCCUCCGGCAUCCGGACAACGAAAGUUCAUCGUCAUCGUGAUUGAUUACUUUACCAAGUGGGUGAAGGCCGAACCCCUGGCACAGAUUACUUAGCGAAAGAUGGAGGACUUCAUCCAGAAGUCCAUCAUCUUCAGGUUCGGAUUGCUGCAUACCAUUGUCACCGACAAUGGGCGAUAAUUUGACAACCAGGACUUCAGAGACUUCUGCACGAGGUUUCACAUCACGCACCGACUGACUUCUGUCGGACACCCACAGUCCAACGGUGAAGUCGAGGUGACCAACCAGACCAUACUACACGGGCUCAAAACCCGACUGAACAAAGCCAAGGGCCUCUGGGUCGAGGAGCUGAACUCCAUCCUAUGGGCGUACCGGAUGACACCCCGGGUCCCGAUCGGGGAAUCGCCUUUCAGCCUGACCUACGGAACGGAGGCCAUGAUCCCACUGGAGAUCGGGCUACCAUCAACUAGGGUCGAGCAGUAUCAAGAGCCGAACAACUCCGAGUGCCGGAAAGCCGACCUAGACCUCCUCCCCGAGCUUCGGGACGAGGCUCAACUUCGCAUGGCUUCUUACCGACAGAAAGUAGCCCGAUAUUACAAUGCCAGAGUGAAGCCGAAGCUCUUCCGACCCGAAGACCUGGUCUUGAGAAAGACGGAGGUCUCGAAACCCCAAGACCGGGGGAAGUUGUCCCCAAACUGGGAGGGACCCUACAAGGUAGCCGACACCUACAAACCGAGAGCUUACCGGUUGGAGACCCUAGAAGGGACGACCAUCCCACGGACUUGGAACACUAACAAUCUAAGGAUGUACUAUCAGUGAACUCUGUAUCCCCCUCACUUGGAAUACGAACUCAGUUUUUAAACUUCGGAGUCUGGAAUGCCGACUCUUCGACUGUUGUUCGGCGCUCACCAAGGGAUGCGAGUCCCCAGUGUCCCAACUCAGACUUGACGAUCCACUACGAACCGACGGACCGACCGCCAACGAUGCCUCGAACGCUUAAAGGACCGACGCAUCUGCGGCGACGGGAGCUACACUCCUUCUACAUCUAAAAUUUCCGACCAAAAUGAUUGAACGAAACGAUCGGCCGACUCACCGGCCCCGCUCCGACCGGGAAGGGUAAAGCGCCCUAGCAACCAACGUCGCAUUCGCGACUGGCCAACCGGGUCGAGACCGAUCGAAGGGUAUUCGGCUUACCUCCGUUUAUCACACGACGCGAUGCAAGUACCCGAUCUAAGUCUGGGUAGCGGGAACUCGACUUGCCAUCGCUUUCCCGACCAAACCCGUCGACUGCAUAGGAUGAUGUACCAGAUGCAGUCCGAUCGAUCGCAUCGAACGACAUUCGGGUCAUCGAGGGGCACCCGAAGGUCGGUCGACUUUCGUCCCCCCGAAUGACCUUCGACUCCGCUGGCACGACCGACUCAACAGACUCGUGCCUGGAAGUCGGUCGACCCCCGACUCAUGCCAGGACGAUGUACGUUCGACUCUGGCAUUCGGUUUACGACCUAACGACGGACGUCCGGUCCAGGUCUAAGGACGGACGAUUAAUGGUCGGGGUACGUCUUGCUUACCCUAUGACGCACUACCGACUAUCUCGACUGACAACUCGGGAUAUCGUAGGGUGCCCUAAUGCGGUACGUUGGGACUGCGUCUCUCCGACCUUAUGACCCCACGACUACAAGUAUAUCCUGACAGGCAAAGAAAAAAAGUCGAAAAGGAAAUCAGAAAUUUCUUAAGUCCUUUUAAGUCUAUAAAAUCGGGUCGAAGCCCGGUUACAAGUGCGCAAAGAAAAACAAAAAACAACAAAGGAGGACAAGGCCGCGAUCAUCCUUCAGAGUCGAUCUCUUCGAUUGAUGAAAGCUCAGGGAUGACCGACGUAUCUACAAUGAUCGGCACUGGGUCGGUGGCCGGCGCUGGGUCGGCGGACGGCGCUGGAUUGACGGUCGGCGUCGGGUCGACGGUCCGCGUUGGAUCAUGGGCCAGAGCUCGGUCUGGAGUCAGGACCGUCUCUCUUUCGACAACCUGCUCCGGGACAGCCUCUCCCACCGCAGCGACGUCCCCCGACAACGAGUCGGCCAUCUCUUCCGUGGCUUGGUCCUCGACCCCCGGUGGAAUAAUACCGCUGAGGUUCAGCUUCGGGUACAGAGCUUGGACUGCAUCCCGACCGUCUUCGUACCCCACCCGGUACGAUGCAAAGCCGGUCUCCAGCAGCUCCUCCCGAUACCUGUCGGAGCCACGAAAGUCGUCCACCACCCGACUCAGUGACUCCUUCGCCGACCUCGCCUCCGCUUCCGCCCGAUCGAGAGAGUCCUUCGCCGACUCCGCCUCUGCCUUCGCUAUAUCGGCAUCGGCCUGGGCAAUCGACAAGUCCUCCUCAGCCUUGGCGAGGUUCUCCAGGCUGACCCGGAGCUGCUCGCGUUCGGCCUCGAGCUCGGUGGCAACGCCGUCCCGUUCGCGCCGCAGACGGUGCGCAGUCCGACCCUUGCGCUUGGCCUUCUUUCGGGCCAACUUGAGUUCGGACUCGAGACGAGAGACCUCGUCCUCCAGCCUUGCCUCCCGAUCGAUCGACUGCUUUAGGUGUUCGACCAGCGCCGCCUUGUCAGCUUCGACGGCCGUCGCCCUAUCCUUCCAAGCCGCCCGGAUGUUCCCGAACCUCCGAUAUCCGACCUCAAGUUCGGACAUGGUAUAAAUUAGCUGCAAACAUGGAUGCUGCGUCAGGAAAGCGAAAUAAUGAGAACAGUAAGAAGGGAAGAGACGAAGUGGGACUUACCCCGACCAUGGUCGGGUAGAACGAAGAUAGCAUCUCAGUCACCUGCCGAGACCUCAGGACCUCCACGUCGGCUGGGAGAAGGAUCCCCUGACAUAGCCUCCUAGCCAAGUUAUGGUCGGCCAAAGUCGACAAUCCUUCGGGGGCCUGAGCGCCAGGUGACGCGUCGGUACUCCCCGACCUUGGGUCAUCGGCGGGGGCCAUCAGGGCUUUCCCCCGAUCGGUCGCCCCGGCCCGUAGAUCGGGUGGGGAAGGGAUGCUCGAGCUUGACUGAGCACCCCCCGUUGCAGCUCCAGACGCCGUCGGAUGACGUUCGGUUCCCGAACGGCGUCCGACGCCACUCUCAUCGGUGAGGCCGCCGAUGUUCCUUCAGUCACUUCCCCCGUCGGCCGCUCCACCGGUUGCACCAUCGGAGCCGAGAGUGCGAUCACCGGCUCUGACUGUUCGGUCCCCGACGCUGCGACGAUCGGCACCGCUGUUGAGGGUUUCUUCGGCGGUCGUGAGGGUCCGACCCCGGACGCCGGCCUCUUCCUUGCCGCAUAUUGUCUGACUUCAACGUCGGUUGGCCUCAUUCUCGACGCUGUCCCUGCGAUUCCGACAAAAGGAUCAGUAUAUGCUCGAGAACAAAUGCCAAAUAAAAAGACAAUCGAGGGAUCGGGCGGUACCUAGGCGGGGGAUCAGCCUCAGGCCAGCAUCAUAGAGGGCUUGUUCGGUAACAAGUUUUCUCUGCUUCGGGACCGACAUGUCCUUGAGUCGGUGGAAGUCCUCCCGGUCAUCCGCCUCAACCCGGCUGUUCUCGUUUGCCUCGGUUCGGGGCACGCCCCAAUGAGAAGAGAAGCCCCAGGGAGAAGAAGAAGAAACAAAGAAAAACUGGUUCUUCCACCCGUGAAUGGAUGAUGGAAGGCCAGUGAUGAAGGAAAGACCCUUCCGGAGGUUGAAGAACCACCACCCUCGGGCCUUAGGGUGGGGUCGGAGGAUAAAAAAUGCCCGAAAAAGAGAGAUCCGAGGGUUGGUCGGCAGGAGCUGACACAAUAGGGCGAAGCUGAUUAUCAGCCGAAUCGAGUUCGGCGCCAGUUGCACCGGACAGAGUCCAUAAUAAUCUAGCAGAUUUCGAAUGAACUCCGAAAUCGGAAGUCGAAGACCAGUCCGGAGGUCCUCGACGUACAAUGCCACCUAGCCCGCGGGCGGGUUGUUAACCCGACCGCCGGCCCCUGGGGUGGAAAGUCGGAACUGCUCUGGGAUAUGAUACUGAUCCCGAAGCCGAUCAACAUUCAGCCCCGAAAGCGAGAAAACCUCAACUUUCGGAGUCGACCGAAGGUCAUCGAUCGGAUUUUCCGACCGAGCCUCCUGAGGUGAGGUUCUGGCCAUAACACCAGAACCAAGAAGAAGACAAGACCGAAGAAGAGGGAGAAGGAAAAGAAAGGGUUUUAAGGAAAACUAGAGCAAAACAGAAGAGGGGACGGACCCCGAACGAACCCCUGCGAGAGUGGGGGUGGGCGCAGCUGCCGUCGACGACGGAGAGACCGCUUGGACAGAGUCUCCGCAGCAAAACCGUCAGAAAUAGAGCUUCGAGUACAAGUGGCCCCAUAUAUAUAGGGCUGUUCGACGGUCGAGAUGACGCCGCACCGACCAAGACUUCUCGGAUGAGCGACACGUGGCGGCAUCCGGGCCCCCUUCCGAUCCGGCGGUUCGACGCACCCAUCCCAGAAGGGCCACAUCGCCUUCAUUAAAUACGAAGGACAUCGGCCCAACAACCCCUGACGCGUGGCGAAAAGGCCACGAUUCGGAAUUAAAUCGCCUGCGGCAAUUCGCAUCCCCGAUGGGAUGCCUGACAGCGACCCGCGCUCCCAAAACCGGCGCCGGAUGGCGGUUUGCAUUCCCCAAAAGGCGCCGGACACCCGAUCGCCUGACACCGGAUCGUCCGGCACUCGAUCAUCUGACACCCGAUCGCCUGACAUCGGAUCGUCCGGCACUCGAUCGUCUGACACCCGAUCGCCUGACACCGGAUCGUCCGAUACUCGAUCGUCUGACACCCGAUCGCCUGACACCAGAUUGUUUGACGUCGCAUCAUCGAACAACGAGACACCUGACGUCGACUUGCCCGGAUCAUCCCUCCGUGAGAUCAGCAAACUCGGUUCAGGACGCAGCAAAGAAUCCACUCCUCUCGCCGCCCAACGUCCCACCCGCGUGGAGACGCGGGCCAAUGCGACAUCAGGCUCAGGAGUGGGAGGGCAACUGUUGGGAUAUACCGACCGCCUCCAUCCGACCGACCAACUCCAUCCGACCGACCGACUCCAUCCGACCGACCGACUCCAUCCGACCGACCGACUCCGCCCGACCGAUGGCGGGCGACACCGACAGCGACUACCAAUUGUGCCCUGACCGGAGUGGAUCGGCCUAACGACCCUACGUCACCUCCGAUCGCCUGAGGGCCGACCCCCCGUCACCGACUUCCUAUCGGAUGGGACACCGACGACUCACCAUCAGUUUGGAUGACUGACGUCCCACCUCUACAGACCCUCCUAGACGCCGAAUGAGCGGCGUGGGCUGCGGUCCCAUCAAGUAAACGCCGUACGAACGUUAGGAGGCAUUAUCCUGUCAGAAAGCCUGGGGCGCUGUCCUGCUAAGGACGAGAAUUAAUUCUUAGGACCUGUCAACUUUGUCAACGGCGUGACAACCUCCGACAAUUUGACAACUCUCCAGUUGUCUACAUCACCGACGGCGAAGCCAUACCACCUCCUACUAUAAAUCGGGGAGGGCAACAGUGCUAGCGGGGGGGGGGGCUCUAGAGAAAAAAAUGCUCAGGCUCUCCCUCUCUCUCUCUCCCCCCGCAGAGCUUCUUGUCUCCUUUUUACUGUUGCCUAGUCUUCUCUCUGACUUGACCGUCGGAGGGUCCCCGCCGGAGCUGCCUCCGAUCAGCGUGGACUUUCUUUUGCAGGCGCUCGUUCCCGGCGACCAGGCGACGAGGAAAUUGGCCGCAACAGAUAUAUACUUCAUAAAACUAAUAAUAAACUUUGCUUAUUUUAAUAGCAAAAAUUAAAGUAAUAAAAUCUAAAUGUUACCGCCAUAGCUCAAAACAUAAGGUAGAAAACUAACAUUGUGUAACUCAAUCAUUCAUUUUUGCUUGCAUGAUAUAAUUUACAAUCAAACUAAACAAUGAUUCAUCUGAUAUAAAACAUAUAAGAAGAACUAUGUUCAAGUUAUUCAUUUCAUGACAAAGUUAAACUACACCUAUGCUUGACUGCAUCUCUCCCAUAAAAUUUCAGGCAAAAUGAAACAACAUGAUGCAUUCUUUAUUGGACCAGAUUUUGAUUAUAUCAUCUAUGCAACUCAUUAAAUAUAUUUUCACUUCUAAAAGGUGCAAAUAUUAUGCAUUUCUAAUCUAAGAUGAGAAUUAACUUAAAGAAUUGUAUAAUAAAAUCCAAGAAUAAAUAUAUACAACACAUCAAAAGCGAAUACAUGUAAUGCAAAAAGUUUCAUAUCAUUCGUGGGAAGACCAAAUGCAAAGCGGUUGCACCCAUAUUCAACAUGCAUCAAUGACUCUAGAACAUCCAUUCUCAAGAAUCAAUUUCUCCAGCCAUGCAACCUUUACCAAAUAAAAAUGAGGGCAGGAACCCCUUAUUUUGGAUCCUAUAUAUAUAUAUAUUUGGGGUGGGGGGUGUUGUGUGGAGUUUUGCAUCUAUUAUAUAUAUAUAUAUAUAUAUAUAUAUAGAGAGAGAGAGAGAGAGAGAGAGAGUAUUANNNNNNNNNNNNNNNNNNNNUAUAUAUAUAUAUAUAUAUAUAUAUAUAUAUAUAGAGAGAGAGAGAGAGAGAGAGAGAGAUUAAUUGCAAACAAAAACGGUUCUACAUGCAUUUGUAGAUAGACAUUUCUUAUUCUAGAAAUUCUCUAAUAGGAAUCCAACAAUUUUUUUCAUCAAUCGUAGCAAACAACCCUCUUUUUACUUGACCUUUGAAGCUUCUAACUACUUUGCUAUCAUUCUUCUCUAUAUCAUUGCCUUCAAAUUCAAGAUAUACAGAAUAGUAGCGAUAAUGAUACCAAAUCUAACAACAAUAGCAUCAAAAUACAUGAAUGGCUCACUAAUUAGAAACUCGAAGAGCAAAGUUUUUCAGUGACAGCAAGGGAAAGCGGAGGCUUCUCAACCAUGUGGGAACCAGGAAUUUUGGAGACAGAGAAGGUGGAUACCAACAGGGGGGAAGUCACCCGCUUCUCGAUCGCGGGCACCAUGCCUUCUUUCGUCUUCAACCCAAUUGCUGUCGACCCUAAUUGACAAAGAUUAAAGAAAACAACGUACGCAUAUUAAAAAUUUUCAAUGAAAUUAGACCCGAUGAAAACCAAAAGAUGGGGGAAAUGUGCUACCUUAAUAGCCUCGAUAGCGUACUCGACCUGGAAUAACCUUCCCUCCAGCAAGAAAGUGUUGACUCAUCGGUCAUACUCAGUCCUUAAAUCAAAAAAAUAAAAAAGAGAUCAGUAGUUUGAUCAGAAAUAUACGAAGAUUUACCAAAGAAAUGGGUACAAUUCGAGUAAAGAGGGCUUACCUGAUGAGGAACAUCUCGAAGAAAGGAUUGGAAGUGCGAAUCCUAGAGAUGGAUCGAGGGAGGGGGAGAGAGAAAGAGGAGGAGCAGUGAGGGGGUUUUUUUUGAUCCACCGCGCAAUAUGAAGGUGGGCUGCUGCUCAUAGGGGCAAACCGAUGAGGAGUUCGAUGGUAGUGGAAUGCAGAUCGAGAGUGUUUUUGUCAAUAUGAAAAAUGGAGGGAACAUCGAAAAAAUCAAGAAGAUAUGGGGCAAAGGAGAAUAGAAAGAUCGGAGGGGUUCCUUAUCAGAGAUAUGUGGCGAAGGAGAUUAAUUUGUUAUUGAGUAUACGUGUUUUUGUGUGAGUUGUAGCAGUGUGAGCAAAAGAGGGUCGAGGGAAGCCAUGCCGCGGUUGGCCAAGGCGAUGAGGAGGCAGAGGGCGUCAGGAACGUGGUUAGCAUGGGGAGGCCUGGAAGCAUGUGAGGAUCAUAUGUGUGACAUCGUCUGAGAUGUCCUUGCUGAUGUCGGCAUCAUCACCGACCUUUGCGACUACGUCGGGCAGAUCCUUAGGCCUUCUUCUCGUGGGGAGGACGGCAAUGGUGGUGGUGGAAAGGAAGUAGCAGAGCUCGUGGGAGGAGGUGCUGCAGGGGUUGGAGAAAGUUCGAGAGAGGGAGAGAGAGGGACGGGGGGAAGGAAAAAAAUGGAGAGGAGAGGAGGAAAAUUCGGGGACCCCCUCACCCGUAGGGACAAAUAAAUGUGUGUGCGGGGUGGCAGUAUGUGAUGUUCAUGGAUGUUGGGAAGGAGGAGAGAGAAAAAUAAAAUAUAUCAAACAUAUUUAUUAUUCUUGAAAUGAAGAGUCUAAAGGGUCGGAAAUAAUUUUUUUAAUAAAAAAAAUUAGAGAGAUUUACAAAUAUUAUAAUUAUAAAAAGAUUAUUAAAAUAAUUUAAUCUAAUCAAUAUCUAAGCCAAGGUGGAUGUAGGGGAAGGUGGAAGAGGGGGAGUGCAGGGGUUUGAAUUCUGGAGAGGAGCUAUCAUCCUCGAACAUCGGCCAGUUGUUUUUGCUCGUGUUUGGAAAUGACGUGUCGAGGAAUAUACUGGUGUAAUGGAGCAAUCAGAAUAUCAGAUGAGUCUGACCGAUCUAUCUAUUGAAAUUUUUCAGUCUUUUAUUUUUUUCUACUCAAACAAGAUUUUUUUUUGCACGUUUGAUUAUAUUUUUUAUAGCUUUUUGAUUCUUCCAGCAGUUUUUCAUUAACCAGAAUCAUACAUACGAAAGUUUUUUUAUUUUAUUUUAUUUUUAUUCAUAUUUUUACACUGUCGUUGGUGUUAAAAAUUAAGCCUAAAGGGCCAUUGUCUAUACUAUGAACAUUUCGAAGUUAUAGAUUUUUAUGAUGUCGCCGAACUAAAGUUCACAUUCUGUUGGAAGGCUUUCGAGUGAAAGAAAAAUGAUGAUGGAUGACCAUAGCUUCUGCUGUCUAUAUGUAUUAUCGAGAAAUUCAUAAAUUAAAGAGAUUCUUUGAUAAUUUUAAAUGAAUUUAUCAUGGUAUAGUAAUAGCUGAUUAUGGACUUCUCAUGAACUUUGCAACUGCUCAUGAUGAAUAGUGAAUGGUUUAACUCAAUAUGAAUAUCUGUUUCCUAACUUCAGUUCUUUAAAUUUAAAAUAAAUAGUACAUCAAUCUAUAUCGACUAUCCAUCAGUAAAUAUAGGAUACUUAGCUCCCUUUGGAUUGGCUAGCUUUUAUAAAGUGUUGAAGAUGAGGGGACUUGGAUAUGCUACAAACUCCGAACCAGACAAAAAGAUGUGUAUCUAAAUUUAUGUUUUUACUUAGAAUAUUUGAUAUCAUCUAUGAUAUCUUUUAUGUUACGUUGAAGUUUUAAUUUAUAAAAAUAUUAUUUGAGAAAAUAAUUAUAUAGGUUCUAAGCUAGUUACAUGUUAUUGUUCCAACUAGGUGCUAUCUACAAAGAUUUGAACAAUGCUUAUUUUAAUGCAUAAAAAAUAAAAACAUCCUGGGGAUUUUAAUGGUCAGAUAAAGUUGAUUUGUUCUCAUCCAACCACGAAGAGUCUAAAUGGUCGGAAAUAAUUUUUUUAAUAAAAAAGUUAGAAAAAUUUAUAAAUAUUAUAAUUAUAAAAAUAUUAUUAAAAUAAUUUAGCCAAGGUGGGUACUCCGCAGUAGGGGAAGAUGAAAGAGGGGGAGCGCAGGGGUUUAGAUUCUGGAGAGGAGCUAUCGUCCUCGAACGUCAGCCAGCUGUUUUUGCUCGUGUUUGGGAAUGGCAUGUCGAGGAAUGUACUGGUGCAAUGGAGCAAUCAGAAUAUCAGGUGAGUCUGAUCGAUCUAUCUAUUGAAAUUUUUCAGUCUUUUAUUUUUUUCUACUCAAAUAAGAUUUUUUUUUGCACGUUUGAUUAUAUUUUUCAUGACUUUUUGAUUCUUCCAGAAGUUUUUCAUUAACCAGAAUCAUACAUACGAAAGUUUUUUUAUUUUAUUUUAUUAUAUUUUUACACUAUCGUUGGUGUUAAAAAUGAAAUCUAAAGGGCCAUUGUCUGUACUAUGAACAUUUCAAAGUUAUAGAUUUUUAUGAUGUCGCCGAACUAAAGUCCACAUUCUGUUGGAAGGCUUUCGAGUGAAAAAAAAAUGAUGAUGGAUGACCUUAGCUUCUGCUAUCUAUAUGUAUUAUUGAAAAAUUCAUAAAUUAAAGAGAUUCUUUGAGGAUUUUAAAUAAAUUUAUCAUGGCAUAGUAAUAGUUGAUUAUGGACUUCUCAUGAACUUUGCAACUGCUCAUGAUGAAUAGUGAAUGGUUUAACUCAAUAUGAAUAUCUAUUUCCUAACUUCAGUUCUUUAAAAUUAAAAUAAAUAGUACAUCAAUCUAUAUCGACUAUCCAUCAGUAAAUAUAGGAUACUUAGCUCCCUUUGGAUUGGCUAGCUCUUAUAAAGUGUUGAAGAUUAGAAAACUUGGAUAUGCUACAAACUCUGAACCAGACAAAAAGAUAUGUGUAUCUAAAUUUAUGUUUUUAUUUAGAAUAUUUAAUAUCAUCUGUGAUGUCUUUUAUGUUACAUUGAAGUUUUAAUUUAUAAAAAUAUUAUUUGAGAAAAUAAUUAUAUAGGUUCUAAGCUAGUUACAUGUUAUUGUUCCAACUAGGUGCUAUCUACAAAGAUUUGAACAAUGCUUAUUUUAAUGCAUAAAAAAUGAAAACAUCCUGGGGAUUUUAACGGUCAAAUAAAGUUGAUUUGUCCUCGUCCAACCAUGAAGAGUCUAAAAGGUCGGAAAUAAAUUUUUUUAAUAAAAAAGUUAGAAAAAUAUACAAAUAUUAUAAUUAUAAAAAAAUUAUUAAAAUAAUUUAAUCUAAUCAUUUGUCCUCAUCCAACCACGAAGAGUCUAAAAGGUCGGAAAUAAUUUUUUUAAUAAAAAAUUUAGAAAUAUAUAUAAAUAUUAUAAUUAUAAAAAUAUUAUUAAAAUAAUUUAAUCUAAUCAAUAUCUAAACCAAGGUGGGUACUCCGCAGUAGGGGAAGAUGGAAGAGGGGGAGCGCAGGGGUUUGGAUUAUGGAGAGGAGCUAUCGUCCUCGAACGUCAGCCAGCUGUUUUUGCUCGUGUUUGAGAAUGGCAUGUCGAAAAAUGUACUGGUGCAAUGGAGCAAUUAGAAUAUCAGGUGAAUUUGAUCGAUCUAUCUAUUGGAAUUUUUCAGUCUUUUAUUUCUUUCUACUCAAAUAAGAUUUUUUUUUGCACGUUUGAUUACAUUUUUUCAUGGCUUUUUGAUUCUUCCAGCAGUUUUUCAUUAACCAGAAUCAUACAUACGAAAAUUUUUUUAUUUUAUUUUAUUUUAUUCAUAUUUUUACACUGUCGUUGGUGUUAAAAAUGAAAUCUAAAGGGCCAUUUAUGAACAUUUCAAAGUUAUAGAUUUUUAUGAUGUCGCCGAACUAAAGUCCACAUUCUGUUGGAAGGCUUUCGAGUGAAAAAAAAAUGAUGAUGGAUGACCUUAGCUUCUGCUAUCUAUAUGUAUUAUUGAGAAAUUCAUAAAUUAAAGAGAUUCUUUGAGGAUUUUAAAUGAAUUUAUCAUGGCAUAGUAAUAGUUGAUUAUGGACUUCUUAUGAACUUUGCAACUGCUCAUGAUGAAUAGUGAAUGAUUUAACUCAAUAUGAAUAUUUGUUUCUUAACUUCAGUUCUUUAAAUUUAAAAUAAAUAGUAUAUCAAUCUAUAUCGACUAUCCAUCAGUAAAUAUAGGAUACUUAGCUCCCUUUGGAUUGGCUAGCUCUUAUAAAGUAUUGAAGAUUAGGGGACUUGGAUAUGCUACAAACUCUGAAUCAGACAAAAAGAUAUGUGUAUCUAAAUUUAUGUUUUUAUUUAGAAUAUUUGAUAUCAUCUAUGAUGUCUUUUAUAUUACAUUGAAGUUUUAAUUUAUAAAAAUAUUAUUUGAAAAAAUAAUUAUAUAGGUUCUAAGCUAGUUACAUGUUAUUGUUCCAACUAGGUGCUAUCUACAAAGAUUUGAACAAUGCUUAUUUUAAUGCAUAAAAAAUAAAAACAUCCUAGGGAUUUUAACGGUCAAAUAAAGUUGAUUUGUCCUCGUCCAACCACGAAGAGUCUAAAAGGUCGGGAAUAAUUUUUUUAAUAAAAAAGUUAAAAAAAUUUACAAAUAUUAUAAUUAUAAAAUAUUAUUAAAAUAAUUUAAUCUAAUCAUUUGUCCUCAUCCAACCACGAAGAGUCUAAAAGGUCGGGAAUAAUUUUUUUAAUAAAAAAGUUAAAAAAAUAUAUAAAUAUUAUAAUUAUAAAAAUAUUAUUAAAAUAAUUUAAUCUAAUCAAUAUCUAAGCCAAGGUGGGUGCUCUGCAUUAGGGGAAGGUGGAAGAGGGGGAGCGUAGGGGUUUGGAUUCUGGAGAGGAGCUAUCGUUCUCGAACAUCAGCCAGCUAUUUUUGCUCGUGUUUGAGAAUGGCGUGUCGAGGAAUGUACUGAUAUAAUGGAGCAAUCAGAAUAUGAGGUGAGUCUGAUCGAUUCAUCUAUUGAAAAUUUUCAAUCUUUUAUUUCUUUCUACUCAAACAAGAUUUUUUUUUUUACAUGUUUGAUUAUAUUUUUCAUGGCUUUUUGAUUCUUCCAGCAGUUUUUUAUUAACCAGAAUCAUACAUACGAAAGUUUUUUUUAUUUUAUUUUAUUUUUAUUCAUAUUUUUACACUGUCGUUGGUGUCAAAAAUAAAACCUAAAGGACUAUUGUUUGUACUAUGAACAUUUCAAAGUUAUAGAUUUUUAUGAUGUCGCCGAACUAAAGUCCACAUUUUGUUGUAAGGCUUUUGAGUGAAAAAAAAAAUGAUGAUGGAUGACCUUAGCUUCUGCUGUCUAUAUGUAUUGUUGAGAAAUUCAUAAAUUAAAGAGAUUCUUUGAUGAUUUUAAAUAAAUUUAUCAUGGCAUAGUAAUAGCUGAUUAUGGACUUCUCAUGAACUUUGCAACUGCUUACGAUGAAUAGUGAAUGGCUUAACUCAAUAUGAAUAUCUAUUUCUUAACUUCAAUUUUUUAAAUUUAAACUAAAUAGUAUAUCAAUCUAUAUCGACUGUCCAUUAGUAAAUAUAGGAUAUUUAGUUCUCUUUGGAUUGCCUAGCUCUCAUGGAGUGUUGAAGAUGAGAAGAUUUGGAUAUGCUACAAACUUUGAACUAGAUAAAAAGAUGUGUGUAUCUAAAUUUAUAUUUUUAUUUAAAAUAUUUAAUAUUAUUUAUAAUAUUUUUAUAUUAUGUUAAAAUUUUAAUUUAUAAAAAUAUUAUUUAAAAAAUUAAUUAUAUAGAUUCUACGCUACUUACAUGUUAUUGUUUCAACUAGGUGCUGUCUGCAAAGGGUUGGAUAAUGCUUAUUUUAAUGCAUAAAAAAAAAACAUCCUGCGAACUUUAACGGUCAGAUAAAGCUGAUUUGUCCUCAUCCAACCACGAAGAGCGUAUAUUAAUGCAGAAAUAGAAGGGAACGGACUCCACCCCCCUCCGCGGGCCGCGGCAAAACCGAGUUCGUCGUACGCGGCCAAGCGAGAGAGUCCCAGCGAGGCGCCCCCUCGACCUCGCGAGCGGGGCGGCGCGCGAGGUGGAGAGCGAGCGACGAACAAAGAAAGAACGGACCGGUGGUUCAGAAAGCCGGGUGUUUGCUCGCUUUCCGUCGAACGAGGAGGAGGGAAAAUAAAGGAAAGUGGAGUGGAAGGGAAAGAACCGAAGAAACCCUAAUCGAGGGCGAAAGGUACGUCUCUUUCUUGCGAUCGGUUCGAUCUCUGGUAUUAAAUUUCCAGGUGAGCUUUCGGUUAUUGAUUUCGAUUAUGGACGAGUUGCAAAAAAAAAAGAAAAAAGAAAAUCUUGAUUGAUCGACGCUGUUUGAGAUAAGAAUAAUCCGAUGGAGAUGGGGAGACAGAAAGGUUUCUAUUUUUGAAUGUUGAAUUGGAGAAUUUGAGAAUUUGGAUGGAGAGAUAGCCUAAGCCAUAAUGUAGUUGGUAAGAAGCAUGGAAACCAAGAAACAGAUAUCUGUGACCC
rnacentral:lncRNA from 1 species